rnacentral:rRNA from 1 species
AUUGAACGCUGGCGGCAUGCCUUACACAUGCAAGUCGAACGGCAGCACGGGGCAACCUGGUGGCGAGUGGCGAACGGGUGAGUAAUGCAUCGGAACGUGCCAUUGAGUGGGGGAUAACGUAGCGAAAGUUGCGCUAAUACCGCAUAUUCUGUGAGCAGGAAAGCAGGGGACCGCAAGGCCUUGCGCUCUUUGGAGCGGCCGAUGUCAGAUUAGCUAGUUGGUGAGGUAACGGCUUACCAAGGCGACGAUCUGUAGCGGGUCUGAGAGGAUGAUCCGCCACACUGGAACUGAGACACGGUCCAGACUCCUACGGGAGGCAGCAGUGGGGAAUUUUGGACAAUGGGCGCAAGCCUGAUCCAGCCAUGCCGCGUGAGUGAAGAAGGCCUCGGUUGUAAG